rnacentral:rRNA from 1 species
AACGAACGCUGGCGGCGUGCCUAACACAUGCAAGUCGUGCGAGAAAGUUCCUUCGGGAGCGAGUAAAGCGGCGCACGGGUGAGUAACACGUAGGUAACCUGCCCUCCAGUCUGGAACAACUAGAGGAAACUCUAGCUAAUGCCGGAUGAGACCACGAUCCCUUGGGGGUUGCGGCCAAAGAUGGCCUCUACUUGUAAGCUAUCGCUGAGGGAUGGGCCUGCGGGCCAUUAGCUUGUUGGUGAGGUAACGGCUCACCAAGGCUGUGAUGGCUAGCUGGUCUGAGAGGAUGACCAGCCACACUGGGACUGAGACACGGCCCAGACUCCUACGGGAGGCAGCAUGGGGAAUAUUGCGCAAUGGGCGAAAGCCUGACGCAGCGACGCCGCGUGGGUGAUGAAGGCCU